rnacentral:tRNA from 1 species
GGGCGGUUAGCUCAAUGGUAGAGCGUUCCCUUGACAUGGGAAAGGCUAGGAGUUCGAUCCUUCUACCGCCCA